rnacentral:rRNA from 1 species
UACGAAGGGGGCGAGCGUUGUUCGGAUUUACUGGGCGUAAAGGGCGCGUAGGCGGCGGCCCAAGUCGAGUGUGAAAGCCCCGGGCUCAACCUGGGAGGUGCGCUCGAGACUGGUUUGCUGGAGUUCGGGAGAGGAGCGUGGAAUUCCCAGUGUAGAGGUGAAAUUCGUAGAUAUUGGGAAGAACACCGGUGGCGAAGGCGGCGCUCUGGACCGAGACUGACGCUGAGGCACGAAGGUCAGGGGAGCAAACGGG